rnacentral:rRNA from 1 species
AUUGAACGCUGGCGGCAUGCUUUACACAUGCAAGUCGAACGGCAGCGCGGGCUUCGGCCUGGCGGCGAGUGGCGAACGGGUGAGUAAUACAUCGGAACGUGCCCAGUGGUGGGGGAUAGCUCGGCGAAAGCCGGAUUAAUACCGCAUACGACCUGAGGGUGAAAGCGGGGGAUCUUCGGACCUCGCGCUCUUGUAGCGGCCGAUGGCAGAUUAGCUAGUUGGUGGGGUAAAGGCCUACCAAGGCGACGAUCUGUAGCUGGUCUGAGAGGACGACCAGCCACACUGGGACUGAGACACGGCCCAGACUCCUACGGGAGGCAGCAGUGGGGAAUUUUGGACAAUGGGCGAAAGCCUGAUCCAGCAAUGCCGCGUGUGUGAUGAAGGCCUUCGGGUUGUAAAGCACUUUUGGCGGGAACGAAAAGGACUGUGCCAAUACCACGGUUCGAUGACGGUACCCGCAGAAUAAGCACCGGCUAACUACGUG